rnacentral:rRNA from 1 species
CGUAACAAGGUCUCCGUUGGUGAACCAGCGGAGGGAUCAUUAAAGAGUUUUAUAACUCCCAAACCCAUGUGAACAUACCGUACGUUGCCUCGGCAGGCCGCCUACCCUGUAGUGCCCUGCCGGCGGCCCAUUUAACGCUGUUUAUUAUUGAAUUCUGAGGUUAUUAUAAAUAAGUUAAAACUUUCAACAACGGAUCUCUUGGUUCUGGCAUCGAUGAAGAACGCAGCGAAAUGCGAUAAGUAAUGUGAAUUGCAGAAUUUAGUGAAUCAUCGAAUCUUUGAACGCACAUUGCGCCCAUUAGUAUUCUAGUGGGCAUGCCUGUUCGAGCGUCAUUUCAACCCUUAAGCCCCUGUUGCUUAGUGUUGGGAGCCUACGGCAGCGUAGCUCCUCAAAAUUAGUGGCGGAGUCGGUUCACACUCUAGACGUAGUAAAUUCUAUCUCGCCUGUGAGUUGGACCGGUCCCUUGCCGUAAAACCCCCCCUAUUUUAAAGGUUGACCUCGGAUCAGGUAGGAAUACCCGCUGAACUUAAGCAUAUCAAUAA